UACGAAGGGGGCUAGCGUUGCUCGGAAUUACUGGGCGUAAAGCGCACGCAGGCGGUCUUUUAAGUUUGACGUGAAAGCUCCCGGCUUAACUGGGAGAGGUCGUUGAAUACUGGAAGACUUGAGGCAAUGAGAGGGGUGUAGAAUUCCCGGUGUAGUGGUGGAAUGCGUAGAUAUCGGGGGGAAUACCAGUGGCGAAAGCGGCACCCUAGCGUUAGCCUGACGCUCAUGUGCGAAAGCGUGGGGAGCGAACGGG
rnacentral:rRNA from 1 species